GCUUACCAUGCAAGUCGAGCGGGGACUUCGGUCCUAGCGGCGAACGGGUGAGUAAUGCCUAGGAAUCUGCCUUGUAGUGGGGGAUAACGUUUCGAAAGGAGCGCUAAUACCGCAUACGUCCUACGGGAGAAAGGAGGGGAUCUUCGGACCUUCCGCUAUAAGAUGAGCCUAGGUCGGAUUAGCUAGUUGGUGGGGUAAAGGCCUACCAAGGCGACGAUCCGUAGCUGGUCUGAGAGGAUGAUCAGCCACACUGGAACUGAGACACGGUCCAGACUCCUACGGGAGGCAGCAGUGGGGAAUAUUGGACAAUGGGCGAAAGCCUGAUCCAGCCAUGCCGCGUGUGUGAAGAAGGCCCUUGGGUUGUAAAGCACUUUAAGCGGGGAGGAAGGUUCGCUGGCUAAUAUCCAGCGGAAUUGACGUUACCUGCAGAAUAAGCACCGGCUAACUCUGUGCCAGCAGCCGCGGUAAUACAGAGGGUGCAAGCGUUAAUCGGAAUUACUGGGCGUAAAGCGCGCGUAGGCGGUUGUGUAAGUUGGAGGUGAAAUCCCCGGGCUUAACCUGGGCACGGCCUUCAAAACUGCACGGCUAGAGUACGAGAGAGGGGGGUAGAAUUCCAGGUGUAGCGGUGAAAUGCGUAGAGAUCUGGAGGAAUACCGAUGGCGAAGGCAGCCUCCUGGCUUGCUACUGACGCUGAAGUGCGAAAGCAUGGGGAGCAAACAGGAUUAGAUACCCUGGUAGUCCAUGCCGUAAACGAUGUCGACUAGCCGUUGGGGAACUUGAUUCCUUAGUGGCGCAGCUAACGCAUUAAGUCGACCGCCUGGGGAGUACGACCGCAAGGUUAAAACUCAAAUGAAUUGACGGGGGCCCGCACAAGCGGUGGAGCAUGUGGUUUAAUUCGAUGCAACGCGAAGAACCUUACCUACUCUUGACAUCCAGAGAAUCCUGUAGAGAUACGGGAGUGCCU
rnacentral:rRNA from 1 species